AACGAACGCUGGCGGCAUGCCUAACACAUGCAAGUCGAACGAGACCUUCGGGUCUAGUGGCGCACGGGUGCGUAACGCGUGGGUACCUGCCCUUAGGUUCGGAAUAACUCCCCGAAAGGGGUGCUAAUACCGGAUAAUGUCUUCGGACCAAAGAUUUAUCGCCUUUGGAUGGGCCCGCGUUGGAUUAGCUAGUUGGUAGGGUAAAAGCCUACCAAGGCGACGAUCCAUAGCUGGUCUGAGAGGAUGAUCAGCCACACUGGGACUGAGACACGGCCCAGACUCCUACGGGAAGCAGCAGUGGGGAACAUUGGACAAUGGGCGAAAGCCUGAUCCAGCAAUGCCGCGUGAGUGAUGAAGGCCUUAGGGUUGUAAAGCUCUUUUACCCGGGAUGAUAAUGACAGUACCGGGAGAAUAAGCUCCGGCUAACUCCGUG
rnacentral:rRNA from 1 species